rnacentral:rRNA from 1 species
CAAGCCAACUUCUGAUUCCUUCGGGAUGAUGAGGUGAGCAGAAAGUGGCGAACGGGUGAGUAACGCGUGGGUAAUCUACCCUGUUUAGUGGGGGAUAACCCUCCGAAAGGAGGGCUAAUACCGCAUAAUAUCUUCUCCUCCCAGGAAGAGAAGAUUAAAGAUGGCCUCUAUACUAUGCUAUCACUUCAGGAUGAGCCCGCGUCCUAUUAGUUAGUUGGUGGGGUAAUGGCCUACCAAGACCACAAUGGGUAGCCGGUCUGAGAGGAUGUACGGCCACACUGGGACUGAGAUACGGCCCAGACUCCUACGGGAGGCAGCAGUGGGGAAUAUUGCGCAAUGGGGGAAACCCUGACGCAGCGACGCCGCGUGGAUGAUGAAGGCCUUUGGGUUGUAAAAUCCUGUUCUGGGGGAAGAAACCUUAAGGGUCCAAUAAACCCUUGAGCUGACGGUACCCCAAGAGAAAGCUCCGGCUAAUUAUGUGCCAGCAGCCGCGGUAAUACAUAAGGAGCAAGCGUUAUCCGGAAUUAUUGGGCGUAAAGGGCUCGUAGGCGGUCUUAAAAGUCAGGUGUGAAAUUAUCAGGCUUAACCUGAUAAGGUCAUCUGAAACUU